rnacentral:rRNA from 2 species
AAGUCGAGGGGUAGAAUGUCUUCGGAUGUUUGAGACCGGCGCACGGGUGCGUAACGCGUAUGCAACCUACCUCUUACUGGGGAAUAGCCCGGAGAAAUUCGGAUUAAUGCCCCAUAUGCUCGUACGACCUCAUGGUCGAGCGAGGAAAGCUCCGGCGGUAAGAGAUGGGCAUGCGUCCUAUUAGCUUGUUGGUGAGGUAACGGCUCACCAAGGCUACGAUAGGUAGGGGGCCUGAGAGGGUGACCCCCCACACUGGUACUGAGACACGGACCAGACUCC